rnacentral:rRNA from 1 species
AUUGAACGCUGGCGGCAGGCUUAACACAUGCAAGUCGAGCGAGCGGCGGACGGGUGAGUAAUGUCUGGGAAACUGCCUGAUGGAGGGGGAUAACUACUGGAAACGGUAGCUAAUACCGCAUACCAUCAGAUGUACCCAGAUGGGAUUAGCUAGUAGGUGGGGUAAUGGCUCACCUAGGCGACGAUCCCUAGCUGGUCUGAGAGGAUGACCAGCCCCAAUGGAACUGAGACACGGGCCAGACUCCUACGGGAGGCAGCAGUGGGGAAUAUUGCACAAUGGGCGCAAGCCUGAUACAGCCAUGCCGCGUGUGUGAAGAAGGCCUUCGGGUUGUAAAGCACUUUCAGCGAGGAGGCGUUACCCGCAGAAGAAGCACCGGCUAACUCCGUGCCAGCAGCCGCGGUAAUUG